CUUUNUCGGUCUCGCGAAUGCCAUCNUAGACAUGAUNGUAAAUGGUGACUCCUAGGCCUCGCACCUUUCCCAGUANGGGNGUAUCCNGUUGCUACAAACUUCACCCCAAGAUCAGUCAGNGACCACGCGNCCAGAUGAGCAACAGCUGCCCUCACCCGAAGNAUGUUACGCAUACCUAGCUAUCCUAGGUAGCAAACAAACUCACCAAUGGAGUGAUAGAACAGAGAGCAGNGUGAUGUAACAAGAGAGACCGAGAGAAAACGAGUAUNUAUCCAGCCCUGACAAGACAAUAUUGACAAUGAAGAUCUAUGGCGAAAAAAUAUAAACAGUAAGGGUCCGNAAAAAAUUUACCAGGAACCCAUUUCCACAAUGGGGAGAAAAGACAUCANCCCNAUGAUUGUNGUCAAANAGCUAACCAGUUCCACCUAACUUCACAGAUGGCAAACAUNGGAAUANGGAAAAUUAGUANNGGUGAACUAUCCUUUUGACAAAAACAAUUUGUGUGAGCUUUNUUANCCACNGAUCACAGUCACAUGUGNUCAUAUAUAGUCAAGNAUACCGACUUUNACAUGUAAUUAACACACUUUUUAGCCNAAAUUAUNUGAACUAAAGUAANAUAAACAAGAAAUUUAAUUUNGAGAUUCGAGACACCAACCUG
rnacentral:rRNA from 1 species